AAUUUUUUUUUUUUUUUCUUAUUCAACAAUUUAAAGAAAGCUUUCAUUAAAACAAAUUGUAACCAACAAAAUAAUAACAAUAAUUAAUGAGGUAAUUAACAAGAGAAUUUGUGUUCUCCCAAGAAAUAAAUUAACAUACAUAAAUAAGCUUGACACUUGCAUUUGACUAUACCAAUCCAGGCAUGCAUCACCUAUAGACGUUCCCUUCCAAUUUUAAAAUAAAUUAUAAAGGAGGAAUA
rnacentral:misc_RNA from 1 species